rnacentral:misc_RNA from 1 species
GAUGAAGAACGCAGCGAAAUGCGACAAGUAAUGUGAAUUGCAGAAUUCAGUGAAUCAUCGAAUCUUUGAACGCACCUUGCGCUCCUUGGUAUUCCGAGGAGCAUGCCUGUUUGAGUGUCAUUAAUAUAUCAACCUUCUCUUUUUUGAGUUGUUUGGAUGUGGGGGUUUGCUGGCCUCUUAAAUGAUUCAGCUCCCCUGAAAUGCAUUAGCAGAACAACCUGUUCAUUAGCGUGAUAAUUAUCUAUGCUAUUGAAUGUGAGGGCAGUUCAGCUUUCUAACCGUCCUUGGACAAUUCAUCAUUAAUGUGACCUCAAAUCAGGUAGGACUACCCGCUGAACUUAAGCAUAUCAAUAAGCGGAGGA